UCGAACGCGAAAGGGUAGCAAUACCCGAGUAGAGUGGCGAACGGGUGAGUAAUGUGUGGGUAAUUUGCCUUUUAGAGGGGGAUAACUCGGCGAAAGCUGAGCUAAUACCCCAUAACAUCACAGUGUCUUCGGACGUUAUGAUCAAAUGAUGGCCUCUAUUUAUAAGCUAUCGCUAAAAGAUGAGCCCACAUCCUAUCACGCUUGUUGGUGGGGUAAUGGCCCACCAAGGCGACGACGGGUAGCCGGCCUGAGAGGGUGUCCGGCCACACUGGAACUGAGACACGGUCCAGACUCCUACGGGAGGCAGCAGUGGGGAAUUUUUCGCAAUGGGCGAAAGCCUGACGAAGCAACGCCGCGUGGAGGAUGACGGCCCUCGUGGUCUUAAACUCCUGUCUAGCGGGACGAAAGUAUUGGAGGUGAAUAAUCUCCGAUAUUGACUGUACCGCUGGAGGAAGCUCCGGCCAACUCCGUGCCAGCAGCCGCGGUAAUACGGAGGGAGCAAGCGUUACUCGGAAUUAUUGGGCGUAAAGGGCGCGUAGGCGAUCUGAAAAGUUCUGUGUGAAAGCCCACAUGUUAAUUGUGGAAGUGCACAGAAAACUGUUGGAUUUGAGUUCAGGAGAGGAAGGCAGAAUUCCCGGUGUAGCGGUG
rnacentral:rRNA from 1 species